rnacentral:rRNA from 1 species
UACGUAGGGGGCUAGCGUUGUCCGGAAUCAUUGGGCGUAAAGAGCGUGUAGGCGGUCCGGUAAGUCCGCUGUGAAAGUCGGGGCUCAACCCUCGGAUGCCGGUGGAUACUGUCGGACUAGAGUACGGAAGAGGCGAGUGGAAUUCCGUGGUGGUAGCGGUGAAAUGCGCAGAGUAUCAGGAAGAACACCCGUGGCGAAGGCGGUUCUCUGGAACGCAACUGACGCUGAGACGCGAAAGCGUGGGGAGCGAACAGGA